GACGAACGCUGGCGGCGUGCCUAACACAUGCAAGUCGAGCGAUGAAGUCUUUCGGGAUGGAUUAGCGGCGGACGGGUGAGUAACGCGUGAGCAAUCUGCCUUACACAAAGGGAUAGCCUCGGGAAACUGGGGAUUAAUACCAUAUAACACUUAAACAUCGCAUGAUGAAUAAGUCAAAGAUUUUAUCGGUGUAAGAUGAGCUCGCGUCUGAUUAGCUAGUUGGUGGGGUAAAGGCCUACCAAGGCGACGAUCAGUAGCCGGCCUGAGAGGGUGAACGGCCACACUGGAACUGAGACACGGUCCAGACUCCUACGGGAGCUG
rnacentral:rRNA from 1 species